rnacentral:rRNA from 1 species
AUACGUAGGUGACAAGCGUUAUCCGGAUUUACUGGGUGUAAAGGGCGUGUAGGCGGUUUAGCAAGUCAGAAGUGAAAUUCCCGGGCUUAACUUGGGCGCUGCUUCUGAAACUGCUUUACUUGAGUGCUGGAGAGGAUAGUGGAAUUCCUAGUGUAGCGGUAAAAUGCGCAGAUAUUAGGAGGAACACCGGUGGCGAAGGCGGCUAUCUGGACAUGAACUGACACUGAUGCGCGAAAGCACGGGGAGCAAACAGGAUUAGAUACCCUGGUAGUCCACGCCGUAAACGAGGAAUACUAGGUGUAGGGGGUAUCGACGCCCUCUGUGCCGCAGUUAACACGAUAAGGAUUCCGCCUGGGGAGUACGGCCGCAAGGUUGAAACUCAAAUGAAUUGACGGGG